rnacentral:rRNA from 1 species
UGGGGAAUUUUGGACAAUGGGCGCAAGCCUGAUCCAGCAAUGCCGCGUGCAGGAUGAAGGCCUUCGGGUUGUAAACUGCUUUUGUACGGAGCGAAAAGGUCUGCCCUAAUACGGUGGGCUCAUGACGGUACCGUAAGAAUAAGCACAGGCUAACGACGCGCCAGCAGCCGCGGCAAUACGUAGGGUGCGAGCGUGAAUCGGAAUUACUGGGCGUAAAGCGUGAGCAGGCGGUUAUAUAAGACAGAUGUGAAAUCCCCGGGCUCAACCUGGGACCUGCAUUUGUUACUGUAUAGCUAGAGUACGGUAGAGGUGAAUGGAAUUCCUCGUGUAGCAGUGCAAUGCGUAGAUAUGUGGAGGAACACCGGUGGCGAAGGCAAUCCCCUGGGCCUGUACUGACGCUCAUGCACGAUAGCGUGGGGAGCAAACA